rnacentral:misc_RNA from 1 species
UUUCUUUUGGCAUUGUAAUGUGGGAGAUUCUUACGGGCGACGAGCCUUAUGCCAAUAUGCAUUAUGGUGCAAUAAUAGGAGGGAUUGUGAAUAAUACGUUGAGACCACCUGUGCCGCCCUCAUGCGAUCCUGAAUGGAAGCGGCUUAUGGAACAGUGUUGGGCACCGGACCCUGUGCAGCGUCCGACCUUCACCCAAAUAACUAGCCGGUUUCGUGCAAUGUCGGUGGCCCUUCAGAGUAAACUAGCCAAG